AUGAGGAUGAGGAAAGAACUCUCUUGUGUGAGAUAAGGUGAGGUAACCUCCUGAAUACAGGCAUGGUGGGGGUAAUACAUUGUGUUGCUGGACUUUGUAUUUUCCUAGGGACAGGGAUGAUGGGGGUUAUACUGUGGUCCCUGCUGACAAUGAGAUAUAGUAGUAGAUUUCUGACGGCCCUGCUUCGGUGUCUCCAGAGCUGGGGCUUCUCUGAAAUGUCCUGUCUCUGGUUAUUUCCAGGAAACUUCAUCCCCAUCGGUGAGAAGGUGAAGUGGAUGGAUAACUACACAGAUAUGAUGAGGAGGCUGCAAGAUGCUGAACUGAACCCCAACUACUCUGACUUUAUCGUCCCCGUCUUCAUAUAUGGGUGAUCAGGGCGUCUCGCAUACAUUCUCAAUAGAAGCAAUGGACGAAAUAAAACUAUUUAUGAAGAACUGUGUGAAGAUGACAGGAGUCGUCCCCAUCAUUGUCCUCACCAAAAAGACAGGUGGAGAUUUCAUUGAGACUGAAAAAGUAUUCAGACUCAUGGGAGCCUAAACU